ACUCUUUCUCUGUUGCACUACUGUCAAACGUUGCAGCUAGCAGUGCAAUAAUGAAAGGGCGU
rnacentral:pre_miRNA from 1 species